AACGAACGCUGGCGGCAUGCCUAACACAUGCAAGUCGAACGAAGGCUUCGGCCUUAGUGGCGCACGGGUGCUUAACGCGUGGGAAUCUGCCCUUGGGUACGGAACAACAGCUUGAAAGGGCUGCUAAUGCCGGAUGAGGACGAAAAUCCAAAGAUUUAUCGCCAGAGGAUGAGGCCGCGUUAGAUUAGGUAGUUGGUGGGGUAAAGGCCUACCAAGCCGACGAUCCAUAGCUGGUCUGAGAGGAUGACCCGCCACACUGGGACUGAGACCCGGCCCAGACUCCUAGGGGAGGCAGCAGUGGGGAAUAUUGGACGAUGGGCGCAAGCCUGAUCCCGCCAUGUCGGGUGAGUGAUGAAGGCCGUAGGGUUGUACAGCUCUUUUACACGGGAAGAUAAUGACUGUACCGGGAGAAUAAGCCCCGGCUAACUACGUG
rnacentral:rRNA from 1 species